GAUGAAGAACGUAGCGAAUUGCGAUAAGUAAUGUGAAUUGCAGAUUUUCAGUGAAUCAUCGAAUCUUUGAACGCACAUUGCGCCCUUUGGUAUUCCAAAGGGCAUGCCUGUUCGAGCGUCAUUUGUACCCUCAAGCUUUGCUUGAUGUUGGGCGUCUUGUCUCUAGCUUUGCUGGAGACUCGCCUUAAAGUAAUUGGCAGCCGGCCUACUGGUUUCGGAGCGCAGCACAAGUCGCACUCUCUAUCAGCAAAGGUCUAGCAUCCAUUAAGCCUUUUUUUCAACUUUUGACCUCGGAUCAGGUAGGGAUAUCCGCUGAACUUAAGCAUAUCAAUAAGCGGAGGA
rnacentral:misc_RNA from 1 species